rnacentral:rRNA from 1 species
AUAUCAAUGAGCGGAGGAAAAGAAACCAACAGGGAUUGCCUCAGUAACGGCGAGUGAAGCGGCAACAGCUCAAAUUUGAAAUCUGGCCUCGUGCCCGAGUUGUAAUUUGUAGAGGAUGCUUUCGGCGCGGCGCCUCCCGAGUGCCCUGGAACGGGACGCCACAGAGGGUGAGAGCCCCGUAUGGUAGGACGCCUAGCCUCUGUAAAGCUCCUUCGACGAGUCGAGUAGUUUGGGAAUGCUGCUCAAA